CCAGCACUAGGUCCAUGGAGAUUCAAGGAAUCGACUCUAUUGGAGUCGAUUCCCUAAUCUACGGCACUCAAUCUGGCUGUCAACAAAGCUGCUCAUGCGGCCGUUUUCGCCAAUUUCAGCUCAAAAGGAGCCCAAAUGUUCUAGAGCUGCUGAACAUCUUUAUAUGGGUCACCACAGUGGAAUGAACCGGCAACUUACCCAGCAUGUUUUACAAAGUGGAUACCCUUUCUGCUGCACCCAGGAUAAUUCUGGGGCAAGUUCGAUGUUUCCCAUGUUUUAAGAGCGGCAAACCAAUCUGGUUCUAGCACUGCAAUGGCAUGGAUUUUGCUGAUGGGACUACUUGACAUAGAUACGCUCUAACAGAUCAAUUUGAGAGGUGGAGAAUUAAAAGUUGCAAAAGGAGAGCAAUGUCAAGCCCUUGAUGGUGAAAGUCAAGGCAAUCACUGGAAGAGGCAGUUUCCUGGCACUGAUGACGACGCUGAUCCUGCAGUGUUUGGGUCUCAGGACAGACUCUGGAUCAGGCUCUGGUUCUGGAUCAGUUAGAUAAGACCUUGCUGCUUUCUGUGUGAAGUCCAUACAGAGAAAAACACAAGAGGAAAUAUAAAAACAUGUCUGGCAUUUGUCUAGCGCAUAUUUAUAUGACAUGAGAAGCAUCCCAGCGGGCACCUUGAUGACAAAACUACAUCAGAAACAGCAUAAAAAUGCAGAUCGAUUUAUGUCAGCUGAUUAACUUGACGUGUUUUUGACGCCAGUGUUAGAUUUCAAUUUGAUGUCGUUUAGACGUCAAGCUAGUUUACAUGCAUUGUAGAGAUAUUUGUAAUUUGUUCUUGAAGCUUUCAGAUAAAUAAAACAUUUCUUAUAA
rnacentral:lncRNA from 1 species